CGGGGGGAGAAGCCAUAUAAUGCAAGUCGAGCGAACAGAUAAGGAGCUUGCUCCUUUGACGUUAGCGGCGGACGGGUGAGUAACACGUGGAUAACCUACCUAUAAGACUGGGAUAACUUCGGGAAACCGGAGCUAAUACCGGAUAACAUAUUGAACCGCAUGGUUCAAUAGUGAAAGGCGGCUUUGCUGUCACUUAUAGAUGGAUCCGCGCCGUAUUAGCUAGUUGGUAAGGUAACGGCUUACCAAGGCAACGAUACGUAGCCGACCUGAGAGGGUGAUCGGCCACACUGGAACUGAGACACGGUCCAGACUCCUACGGGAGGCAGCAGUAGGGAAUCUUCCGCAAUGGGCGAAAGCCUGACGGAGCAACGCCGCGUGAGUGAUGAAGGUCUUCGGAUCGUAAAACUCUGUUAUCAGGGAAGAACAAAUGUGUAAGUAACUGUGCACAUCUUGACGGUACCUGAUCAGAAAGCCACGGCUAACUACGUGCCAGCAGCCGCGGUAAUACGUAGGUGGCAAGCGUUAUCCGGAAUUAUUGGGCGUAAAGCGCGCGUAGGCGGUUUUUUAAGUCUGAUGUGAAAGCCCACGGCUCAACCGUGGAGGGUCAUUGGAAACUGGAAAACUUGAGUGCAGAAGAGGAAAGUGGAAUUCCAUGUGUAGCGGUGCAAUGCGCCAGAGAUAUGGAGGAACACCCAGUGGCGAAAGCGACUUUCUGGUCUGAAACUGACGCUGAAUGUGCGAAAAGCGUGGGGAUCAAACAGGAUUAUAUACCUGGAAGUCCACGCCGUAAGCGAUGAAGUGCUAAGUGUUAGGGGGUUUCGCCCCUUAGUGCUGCA
rnacentral:rRNA from 1 species